CUCCCUACCAGCUCAAGCUUAACAACUACAGGCGGAGAGUUGGCUUCCUCUCAAUAACAUUCCUGUUAUGAACACAACCAGCUGCUAAGAGCUCACUUCAGUAACUGCUAUGAAAAGCGCCAGGGAUUUUCCUAUCAGCUGACGAGGCAGUCACCAGAGCGGCCAGCCCUCGGACCAGCUGGAUGCCUGCUGGGAUUGGCUCGGCCUCUCCACUUCACGUCCCCAGACUUCUGCCACCACAGGAAGUGACUCUCUCGCUCUUUGCAUUUAUGCCAGCGUGCAGAUCUGCUCCCCUCUGCUUGCCUAUAAGACUUGCGCUCCUGCACUACCUUCCGAACACCUCCUCAGCUAAACACUCCAUUCAAGUGUGUUUGUGUCAUGUCCACUGUGGUAUGUUUUUAGGAAGACACUACAUGAAAAACCUUAUA